GUCGAGCGGUAACACAGAGGAGCUUGCUCCUUGGGUGACGAGCGGCGGACGGGUGAGUAAAGUCUGGGGAUCUGCCUGAUGGAGGGGGAUAACUACUGGAAACGGUAGCUAAUACCGCAUGACGUCUUCGGACCAAAGUGGGGGACCUUCGGGCCUCACGCCAUGAGAUGAACCCAGAUGGGAUUAGCUGGUAGGUGAGGUAACGGCUCACCUAGGCGACGAUCCCUAGCUGGUCUGAGAGGAUGACCAGCCACACUGGAACUGAGACACGGUCCAGACUCCUACGGGAGGCAGCAGUGGGGAAUAUUGCACAAUGGGGGAAACCCUGAUGCAGCCAUGCCGCGUGUGUGAAGAAGGCCUUCGGGUUGUAAAGCACUUUCAGCGGGGAGGAAGGCAAUAAACUUAAUAAGUUUGUUGAUUGACGUUACCCGCAGAAGAAGCACCGGCUAACUCCGUGCCAGCAGCCGCGGUAAUACGGAGGGUGCAAGCGUUAAUCGGAAUGACUGGGCGUAAAGCGCACGCAGGCGGUCUGUUAAGUUGGAUGUGAAAUCCCCGGGCUCAACCCGGGAACAGCAUUCAAAACUGACAGGCUAGAGUCUCGUAGAGGGGGGUAGAAUUCCAGGUGUAGCGGUGAAAUGCGUAGAGAUCUGGAGGAAUACCGGUGGCGAAGGCGGCCCCCUGGACGAAGACUGACGCUCAGGUGCGAAAGCGUGGGGAGCAAACAGGAUUAGAUACCCUGGUAGUCCACGCCGUAAACGAUGUCGACUUGGAGGCUGUGGUCUUGAACCGUGGCUUCCGGAGCUAACGCGUUAAGUCGACCGCCUGGGGAGUACGGCCGCAAGGUUAAAACUCAAAUGAAUUGACGGGGGCCCGCACAAGCGGUGGAGCAUGUGGUUUAAUUCGAUGCAACGCGAAGAACCUUACCUACUCUUGACAUCCAGAGAAGACUGUAGAGAUACGGUUGUGCCUUCGGGAGCUCUGAGACAGGUGCUGCAUGGCUGUCGUCAGCUCGUGUUGUGAAAUGUUGGGUUAAGUCCCGCAACGAGCGCAACCCUUAUCCUUUGUUGCCAGCGAUACGGUCGGGAACUCAAAGGAGACUGCCGGUGAUAAACCGGAGGAAGGUGGGGAUGACGUCAAGUCAUCAUGGCCCUUACGAGUAGGGCUACACACGUGCUACAAUGGCGCAUACAAAGAGAAGCGAGCCUGCGAGGGUGAGCGGACCUCAUAAAGUGCGUCGUAGUCCGGAUUGGAGUCUGCAACUCGACUCCAUGAAGUCGGAAUCGCUAGUAAUCGUAGAUCAGAAUGCUACGGUGAAUACGUUCCCGGGCCUUGUACACACCGCCCGUCACACCAUGGGAGUGGGUUGCAAAAGAAGUAGGUAGC
rnacentral:rRNA from 1 species